rnacentral:rRNA from 1 species
AUUGAACGCUGGCGGCAGGCCUAACACAUGCAAGUCGAGCGAGCGGCGGACGGGUGAGUAAUGUCUGGGAAACUGCCUGAUAGAGGGGGAUAACUACUGGAAACGGUAUCUAAUACCGCAUACCAUCCGAUUUGCCCAGAUGGGGUUAGCUAGUCGGGGGGGUAACGGCUCACCUAGGCGACGAUCCCUAGCUGGUCUUAGAGGAUGACCAGCCACACUGGAACUGAGACACGGUCCAGACUCCUACGGGAGGCAGCAGUGGGGAAUAUUGCACAAUGGGCGCAAGCCUGAUGCAGCCAUGCCGCGUGUGUGAAGAAGGCCUUCGGGUUGUAAAGCACUUUCAGCGGGGAGGCGUUACCCGCAGAAGAAGCACCGGCUAACUCCGUGCCAGCAGCCGCGGUAAUAC